UACGAAGGGGGCUAGCGUUGCUCGGAUUGACUGGGCGUAAAGGGCGCGUAGGCGGAUAGUACAGUCAGGCGUGAAAUUCCUGGGCUCAACCUGGGGGCUGCGUUUGAUACGUAUUGUCUGGAAUUCGGAAGAGGGUCGUGGAAUUCCCAGUGUAGAGGUGAAAUUCGUAGAUAUUGGGAAGAACACCGGUGGCGAAGGCGGCGACCUGGUCCGUGACUGACGCUGAGGCGCGAAAGCGUGGGGAGCAAACAGG
rnacentral:rRNA from 1 species